UACGGGGGGGGCAAGCGUUGUUCGGAAUUACUGGGCGUAAAGGGCUCGUAGGCGGCCAACUAAGUCAGACGUGAAAUCCCUCGGCUUAACUGGGGAACUGCGUCUGAUACUGGAUGGCUUGAGGUUGGGAGAGGGAUGCGGAAUUCCAGGUGUAGCGGUGAAAUGCGUAGAUAUCUGGAGGAACACCGGUGGCGAAGGCGGCAUCCUGGACCAAUUCUGACGCUGAGGAGCGAAAGCCAGGGGAGCAAACGGG
rnacentral:rRNA from 1 species